AUGUUGUCUCACCGUUAUAUAGUCUCAGUCCCAGUUUCAUACAUUUUGCUGGGAUAUAAACAGCCUUCCAUUCCAUGCAGAAGCUAUAAUAGUGAACUAACCUCACUACUAACGCUGGUCACCUCCAUUUUGUCCCAGGGUUCGUGCGGCUGGGAGAACGGCAUCGUAGUCGGAGAUAGACCGCUGCUCCAUUGGUUUGACAGGACCAUAUGGCAACCGAUUUUACGUUCUUCUCCCAUAGAUUAAUAUGGGCGUCUCUAUCCUCAGCAUCAAUGCACUGAGAGGCCAUUGACGUAGCUCUGACGCAAUUCAGUUAAGGAUUUCCCCCAUAAUAGGCAAACAAAGCAGGGAGCGCAGAGCAGAGGGGAAGAGGACAGAAGAGAAGUGCAGAGGGGGAGGGGAAAGAAGAGAAGUGCAGAGGGGGAGAGGAAAAGAGAAUAGCAGAGGGGGAGAGGAAAGAAGAGG
rnacentral:lncRNA from 13 species